UCAACCAGGUCAGAGUCCAAACAGUACCAGGCGAUAGGCAGGCAGAGUGGUUCAGGCAGGCGGGCUCAGAGUCAGGACAGGCAAGGGUCAAAACCCAGGAGGGCAAGAAAAGAGAGACUGGAAAAAGCAGGAGCUGAGACACAAAAACGCUGGUUGUCUUGACAAACAAGACUAACUGUCACAGAGAGACAGGAAACACAGGGAUAAAUACACCGGGGAUAAUAAGAGAUACCUGGAGGGGGGUGGAGACCAGCAGAGUGACAGGUGAAACUCAUCAGGGCGUGACUGUGUCAGGAACAAACAACUACUUAGCCCCUUCAGGUUCAGGUUGAAACCAAGGUUUCAAUACCCCAACCCGCUGAAGCCGCAAGGCAGGAGAAUGGUUUCGGAGACUGAGGGUUUGACAGAGGAACUGUAGAGGCAGGAAGUAGGGAGAAUGGUUUCGGAGACAGAGGGUUUGACUGAGGAACUGUAGAGACAGGAGGUAUGGAGAAUGGUUUCGGAGACUGAGGGUUUGACAGAGGAACUGUAGAGGCAGGAGGUAUGGAGAAUGGUUUCGGAGACUGAGGGUUUGACAGAGGAACUGUAGAGGCAGGAGGUAUGGAGAAUGGUUUUGGAGACUGAGGGUUUGACUGAGGAACUGUAGAGGCAGGAAGUAUGGAGAAUGGUUUCGGAGACUGAGGGUUUGACAGAGGAACUGUAGAGGCAGGAGGUAUGGAGAAUGGUUUCGGAGACAGAGGGUUUGACAGAGGAACUGUAGAGGCAGGAAGUAUGGAGAAUGGUUUUGGAGACUGAGGGUUUGACUGAGGAACUGUAGAGGCAGGAAGUAGGGAGAAUGGUUUCGGAGACUGAGGGUUUGACUGAGGAACUGUAGAGGCAGGAAGUAGGGAGAAUGGUUUCGGAGACUGAGGGUUUGACAGAGGAACUGUAGAGGCAGGAGGUAUGGAGAAUGGUUUUGGAGACUGAGGGUUUGACAGAGGAGAGGCAGGAGGUAAGGAGAAUGGUUUCGGAGACUGAGGGUUUGACAGAGGAACUGUAGAGGCAGGAGGUAUGGAGAAUGGUUUUGGAGACUGAGGGUUUGACAGAGGAGAGGCAGGAGGUAAGGAGAAUGGUUUCGGAGACUGAGGGUUUGACAGAGGAACUAUAGAGGCAAGAGGUAUGGAGAAUGGUUUUGGAGACUGAGGGUUUGACAGAGGAGAGGCAGGAGGUAUGGAGAAUGGUUUCGGAGACUGAGGGUGUCAGGCUUCACAUUUUUGGACCCUGGGCGGUAUGAAAUGGUGAAAUUGAAUCUGGUAAAUAACAAAGCCCACCGGGCCUGCCUGGAGUAAAGGCACUUGGCUGAACGGAGAUAUUCCACAUUUUUAUGGUCUGUCCAAACCAGGAAUGGCUGUUCUGGUCUUUCCAGCCAGUGCCUCCACUCUUCCAACGCCAUCUUGACCGCCAGGAGUUCUCGGUUGCCAUAGUUCCUCUCUGCAGGAUUGAGACGAUAGACAGGAAGGCACAGGGAUCAAGCUUCUGUUCCUCGUCAGAUCGCUGAGACAGGAUGCCCCC